CGUGCGUAUGUUUGGUUAUAUAGGUUAUAAUUAAUGUUGACAGAAACAGAAAGUGUUACCCAUUUAUAUACACAAGAAGGAAUUAAGGAAGGAAAAGUAAAAGAUGAAACUGAAGACUGAAACGAAAUUUCAACCUAAGGGACAAAAUGUGACACAAGUUUUAAAGUCAAGGUGAUUGUACAGUUAAGUCGGAGAACAGAGACAAUUAUUUAAAUAAAAGAAGUUGGAAUGUAAAAAUAAGAUUUGGUUGUUCGAUGAAAACAUUACAAUGAAAACGUGUGACACAGGGCAUGUGAAGAAAUAAUUAUGAUGCUCAAGCAUUUUCAACAUGAGAUUAAACAAAAUCACCUAUCUGCUUUGGUCAAAAAUGUGAUAACAUGAGCUCAAGAUAAGUGUGGAAAAGUUCAUAGUUCAUCUCUGGCAGUUAUCGACAAGAUUCUGGAAUAUGUAUAUCAUCUGCUGCAAAAUAUAAUUUCUUCAGACACAAGAGGACAACAAUGCCAACAUCGCAAAUAAUAGACCAUCAGUUAUUGGACAAUUUAAAAUUGUAUAAUGUACAAAAUGGUUCCAUAACUAUAUACAUAUUAGGCACAAUUAUUUAAAAUAGGCAAUAUUUUAAGUAACAACAUAUGCUAAGAUUUACUAUUCUAUUGUGUUAAUUAUAUUAUACUUUAGAUAAAUUGUAUUGUUAUUGUCAAAAUUAAGGUUUAUAACUUGCUGCACCUUGAACAUUGGGGUUGUU